UCUCUCUCUCUCUCUCUCUACCUUCAAAUCUUCAAGACUUGUUCUUCAUUCAAAGCUUUGAAGGUGAUCCAUGGAGGUUGCAAGUUGAAGGGCAUUCAAAGGAGCUUUGUUCUAGUCUUGUUCAUCAUCUUUCUCACCAUCAUCUUCACUAGAAUUUCUACCCUAGCUUUGUGCUAGUACUCAAGCUGCAUUUUUAUGGCAGAAAAAGUGUUGUCGUGUAGCGGACAGGGUUUGAGAUUCGAUUCAAGACGCACUACUGUGAGUACAUAG
rnacentral:lncRNA from 1 species